rnacentral:rRNA from 1 species
UGGGGAAUCUUAGGCAAUGGGGGAAACCCUGACCUAGCCAUGCCGCGUGGAGGAAGACACCCCUAUGGGGCGUAAACUCCUUUUCUGUCUGAAGAAAACCCUGUUUUGCAGGGCGUGACGGUAGGACAGGAAUAAGCACCGGCUAACUCCGUGCCAGCAGCCGCGGUAAUACGGAGGGUGCAAGCGUUGUCCGGAAUCACUGGGCGUAAAGGGUGCGCAGGUGGGACAGCAAGUCAGGGGUGAAAGCCCACGGCUCAACCGUGGAAGUGCCCUUGAAACUGCUGUUCUUGAGUCCUGGAGAGGUUGCCGGAAUUCGUGGUGUAGCGGUGAAAUGCGUAGAUAUCACGAGGAACACCAGAGGCGAAAGCGGGCAACUGGACAGGUACUGACACUGAGGCACGAGAGCGUGGGGAGCAAACA